rfam:Candidatus Symbiobacter mobilis CR, complete genome.
UCAUAGGCUUUUCUAAAAGCCCCCCCCUUUUUCCUCAUCGAACUC